rnacentral:rRNA from 1 species
GAUGAACGCUAGCGGCAGGCCUAACACAUGCAAGUCGAGGGGCAGCAUAAAUAAUAGCAAUAUUAUUUGAUGGCGACCGGCGCACGGGUGCGUAACACGUAUGCAAUCUGCCUUGUACUGGGGCAUAACUCAGAGAAAUCUGUGCUAAUUCCCCAUAGUAUUAUAGAGAGGCAUCUUUUUAUAAUUAAAGAAUUUCGGUACAAGAUGAGCAUGCGUCCAAUUAGCUAGUAGGCGAGGUAACGGCUCACCUAGGCUACGAUUGGUAGGGGUUCUGAGAGGAUGAUCCCCCACACUGGUGCUGAGACACGGACCAGACUCCUACGGGAGGCAGCAGUGAGGAAUAUUGCGCAAUGGACGAAAGUCUGACGCAGCCAUGCCGCGUGAAGGAUUGAAGGCCCUAUGGGUUGUAAACUUCUUUUGUAUGGGAAAAAACCCCCCGACGUGUCGGGGGCUGAUGGUACCAUAAGAAUAAGCACCGGCUAACUCCGUGCCAGCCGCCGCCGUAAUAC